rnacentral:rRNA from 1 species
AGAGUUUGAUCAUGGCUCAGGAUGAACGCUGGCGGUCUGCUUAACACAUGCAAGUCGAACGGGCUCUUUCGGGAGCUAGUGGCGGACGGGUGAGUAACGCGUGAGAAUCUGCCUUUUGGUCGGGGACAACCACUGGAAACGGUGGCUAAUACCGGAUGUGCCUACGGGUAAAAGAUUUAUUGCCAGAAGAAGAGCUCGCGUCUGAUUAGCUAGUUGGUAGGGUAAAAGCCCACCAAGGCGACGAUCGGUAGCUGGUCUAAGAGGAUGAUCAGCCAGACUGGGACUGCGACACGGCCCAGACUCCUACGGGAGGCAGCAGUUAGGAAUUUUGGGCAAUGGGCGAAAGCCUGACCCAGCAACGCCGCGUGGGUGAUGAAGGCCUUCGGGUCGUAAACCUCUUUUGUCAGGGAAGAACACAAUGACGGUACCUGAAGAAUCAGCAUCGGCUAACUCCGUGCCAGCAGCCGCGGUAAUACGGAGGAUGCAAGCGUUAUCCGGAAUUAUUGGGCGUAAAGCGUCCGCAGGUGGCACUUCAAGUCUGCUGUCAAAGACCGGGGCUUAACCCUGGAAAGGCAGUGGAAACUGAAGCGCUAGAGUGUGGCAGGGGUAGAGGGAAUUCCCGGUGUAGCGGUGAAAUGCGUAGAGAUCGGGAAGAACAUCGGUGGCGAAAGCGCUCUACUGGGCCACAACUGACACUCAGGGACGAAAGCUAGGGGAGCGAAUGGGAUUAGAUACCCCCGUAGUCC